rnacentral:rRNA from 1 species
UUAUGCUGAUAAGGGCAUAUGGCGGAUGCCUAGGCACUAAGAGCCGAUGAAAGACGCGAUAAGCUGCGAAAAGCUCCGGGGAGGGGCAAAUACCCUGCGAUCCGGAGGUGUCUGAAUGGGGAAACCCACUGGGGGAGCCCCCCAGUAUCCCUGGCCCAAUCCAUAAGCCAGGGAAGGGAACCCGGCGAACUGAAACAUCUAAGUAGCCGGAGGAAGAGAAAACAACAGUGAUUCCCAGAGUAGCGGCGAGCGAAAUGGGAAGAGCCCAAACCGGGGCGCGAGCGCUCCGGGGUUCGGACCGCAAAGAUGACCGACGAGCUUAGCAGAAUGGCUUUGGGAAAGCCAGCCAGAGAGGGUGAAGGCCCCGUAAGCGAAAAGCAGGCCGGCAAGGCGGGAUCCAGAGUACCACGGGACACGAGGAACCCUGUGGGAAUGAGCGGGGACCACCCCGUAAGGCUAAAUACUACUUAGUGACCGAUAGCGCAUAGUACUGUGAAGGAAAGGUGAAAAGGACCCCGGGAGGGGAGUGAAAGAGAACCUGAAACCAUAUGUCUACAAGCUGUGGGAGCGCACAGGAGGCGCGACCGCGUACUUUUUGUAGAACGGUCCGGCGAGUUGCGGCGGCUGGCGAGGUUAAGCGCGAGGAGCGCGGAGCCGAAGGGAAACCGAGCCUGAAUAGGGCGCCAGAGUCGGCCGACGCAGACCCGAAACCGGGUGAUCUAUCCAUGCCCAGGCUGAAGCCGCCGUAAAAGGCGGUGGAGGGCCGAACCCACAUCCGUUGAAAAGGGUGGGGAUGAGGCGUGGAUAGGGGAGAAAUUCCAAUCGAACCCGGAGAUAGCUGGUUCUCCCCGAAAUAGCUUUAGGGCUAGCCCCAGGCAAGUCUUGCGGAGGUAGAGCACUGAAUUUCCUAGGGGGCGUCAAAGCUUACCGAAGAAUAUCAAACUCCGAAUGCCGCGUAGACGGUGCCAGGGAGUCAGACUGCCCGAGAUAAGUUGGGCAGUCAAGAGGGAAAGAGCCCAGACCUGCGGCUAAGGCCCCAAAAUGUGUGUUAAGUGGGAAAGGAUGUGGGGUUUCGAAGACAGCUAGGAUGUUGGCUCAGAAGCAGCCAUGCAUUAAAAGAGUGCGUAAUAGCUCACUAGCCGAGAGGCCCUGCGCCGAAAAUGUCCGGGGCUCAAACACACUGCCGAAGCCCAGGGGCUGAAGAGAUUCAGCCGGUAGGGGAGCAUUCUUAAGGCGGCGAAGCCAGGCCGGAAGGGUUGGUGGAGCGUUAAGAAGGGAGAAUGCCGGAAUGAGUAGCGAGAGGAAGGUGGGAAUCCUUCCGGCCGAAUAUCCAAGGAUUCCAGGGUAAAGCUGAUCUGCCCUGGGUAAGUCGGGGCCUAAGGCGAGGCCGGGAGGCGUAGCCGAUGGACAACAGGCAGAAAUUCCUGUACCAUGCCAUGACAGAACUGUGGGGACGCAGGCGGCGGGGCACGACCCGGGGGAGGAGAACCCGGGGCAAGCGCAGGAGGCGCGCGCAAGGAAAAACCGGCGCGCAAGCCAAAGGCGUGAGGCGGAGCGAAGAGAGAGUAGCGAAGCGUGCAGGCCGGCUGCCAAGAAAAGCCGCUAUGGCUCAUGGCAUGCCCGUACCGUAAACCGACACAGGUGGAUGAGGAGAGGAUCCUAAGGCCGACGGGAGAAGCAUUGUUAAGGAACUCGGCAAAAUGGCCCCGUAACUUAGGGAGAAGGGGUGCCUGGGGAGGCCCAGGCCGCAGAGAAUUGGCCCAAGCAACUGUUUAGCAAAAACACAGGUCUAUGCAAAACCGCAAGGUGAGGUAUAUGGGCUGACGCCUGCCCGGUGCUGGAAGGUUAAGGGGAGAGGUUAGCGCAAGCGAAGCUUUGAACUUAAGCCCCAGUAAACGGCGGCCGUAACUAUAACGGUCCUAAGGUAGCGAAAUUCCUUGUCGGGUAAGUUCCGACCCGCACGAAAGGCGUAAUGAUUUGGGCACUGUCUCAACAAUGCACCCGGUGAAAUUGAAAUACCAGUGAAGAUGCUGGUUACCCGCGCCAGGACGGAAAGACCCCAUGGAGCUUUACUCCAGCUUGGCACUGGGAUCCGGUAUUGCAUGUACAGGAUAGGUGGGAGGCGAAGAGCCUGCGGCGCCAGCCGCAGGGGAGCCAUUGUUGGGAUACCACCCUUGCAGUAUUGGGUUUCUAACCAACAGCCGUGAACCGGCUGGGGGACAAUGCCAGGCGGGGAGUUUGACUGGGGCGGUCGCCUCCGAAAGGGUAUCGGAGGCGCUCAAAGGUCCCCUCAGGAUGGUUGGAAACCAUCCGCAGAGUGCAAAGGCAUAAGGGGGCUUGACUGCGACACCGACGGGUGGGGCAGGUACGAAAGUAGGACUUAGUGAUCCGGUGGUAUAAAGUGGGAUUGCCAUCGCUCAACGGAUAAAAGCUACCCUGGGGAUAACAGGCUUAUCACUCCCAAGAGUUCACAUCGACGGAGUGGUUUGGCACCUCGAUGUCGGCUCAUCGCAUCCUGGGGCUGGAGUAGGUCCCAAGGGUUGGGCUGUUCGCCCAUUAAAGCGGUACGCGAGCUGGGUUCAGAACGUCGUGAGACAGUUCGGUCCCUAUCCGGCGCGGGCGUAGGAUAUCUGAGGGGAGCUGUCCUUAGUACGAGAGGACCGGGAUGGACUGGCCGCUGGUGCACCUGUUGCCCUGCCAAGGGCAUAGCAGGGCAGCCAAGCCGGGAAGGGAUAAACGCUGAAGGCAUCUAAGCGUGAAGCCCCCCCCAAGAUAAGAUGUCCCAUGACGCAAAGUUGGUAAGACCCCUUGAAGACGACGAGGUAGAUAGGGCAGGGGUGGAAGUGUGGCAACACAUGGAGCUGGCUGCUACUAAUAGGUCGAGGGCAUAACCAA